rnacentral:misc_RNA from 1 species
AACGCAUAUUGCACUCUCUGGUCCUCUAGAGAGUAUGCCUGUUUGAGUAUCAUUAACACCUCUCACUCCCUCAAAGGGCGCAAGCUCUGAGCGGCGGGUGGAAGUGGGCGUCUGACUUUAGUGAAGUUGGUCGCUUGAAAUGAAGCGCAGCUGUGCUUGGUGCGCCUGUACUUGCGUAUUAGUUCUCAUCAGAGAUUCCUUACGCAGUUUGUGCGGCAGCCUGCAGCGGCGUGAAAGCAACAAGAACGCUCUGGCAGUCGACAGAGUGCUCAAACCAUUGAUCUCAAAUCAGGCAAGACUACCCGCUGAAUUUAA